UUUCCCUACGGGAGGCAGCAGUGAGGAAUAUUGGUCAAUGGGAGGAAUCCUGAACCAGCCAUGCCGCGUGCAGGACGACGGCUCUACGAGUUGUAAACUGCUUUUGUACCGGGGUAAAAUGCCUUACGAGUAGGGUUUUGAAAGUACGGUACGAAUAAGGAUCGGCUAACUCCGUGCCAGCAGCCGCGGUAAUACGGAGGAUCCGAGCGUUAUCCGGAUUUACUGGGCGGAAAGGGCGCGUAGACGGCGAUGCAA
rnacentral:rRNA from 1 species